rnacentral:rRNA from 1 species
CAGGCUUAAUACAUGCAAGUCGUGGGGCAGCAUGAGUAGCAAUACUUGAUGGCGACCGGCAAACGGGUGAGGAACACGUACACAACCGUCCUUCAAGCGGGGAAUAGCCCAGAGAAAUUUGGAUUAAUACCCAUAAUAUAUUUGAUAAGGCAUCUUAUUAAUAUUAAAGCUUCGGCACUUGAUGAUGGGUGUGCGGCUGAUUAGAUAGUUGGCGGGGUAACGGCCCACCAAGUCUACGAUCAGUAGCUGAUGUGAGAGCAUGAUCAGCCACACGGGCACUGAGACACGGGCCCGACUCCUACGGGAGGCAGCAGUAAGGAAUAUUGGACAAUGGACGAAAGUCUGAUCCAGCCAUGCCGCGUGAAGGAUUAAGGUCCUCUGGAUUGUAAACUUCUUUUAUAUGGGACGAAAAAAGGGCAUUCUUGUUCACUUGACGGUACCAUAUGAAUAAGCACCGGCUAACUCCGUG